rnacentral:rRNA from 1 species
CCUACGGGAGGCAGCAGUGAGGAAUAUUGGUCAAUGGACGAGAGUCUGAACCAGCCAAGUAGCGUGAAGGAUGACUGCCCUAUGGGUUGUAAACUUCUUUUAUAAAGGAAUAAAACGAGGCACGUGUUCCUUUUUGCAUGUACUUUAUGAAUAAGGAUCGGCUAACUCCGUGCCAGCAGCCGCGGUAAUACGGAGGAUCCGAGCGUUAUCCGGGUUUAUUGGGUUUAAAGGGAGCGUAGAUGGUUUGUUAAGUCAGUUGUGAAAGUUUGCGGCUCAACCGUAAAAUUGCAAUUGAUACUGGGAGUCUUGAGUACAGUUGAGGUAGGCGGAAUUCGUGGUGUAGCGGUGAAAUGCUUAGAUAUCACGAAGAACCCCGAUUGCGAAGGCAGCUUACUAAACUGUGACUGACAUUGAUGCUCGAAAGUGUGGGUAUCAAACAGGAUUAGAUACCCUAGUAGUC